CACGUAGGGGCGAGCGUUGUCCGGAUUUAUUGGGCGUAAAGAGCUCGUAGGCGGUUCGGUAAGUCGGGUGUGAAACCUCCAGGCUCAACCUGGAGUCGCCACUCGAUACUGCUGUGACUAGAGUCCGGUAGGGGAGCGUGGAAUUCCUGGUGUAGCGGUGAAAUGCGCAGAUAAUCAGGAGGAACACCUGUGGCGAAAGCGGCGCACUGGACCACAACUGACGCUGAGGCGACGAAAGCUAGGGAGCAAACAGG
rnacentral:rRNA from 1 species